CCUACGGGAGGCAGCAGUAGGGAAUCUUCCACAAUGGGGGAAACCCUGAUGCAGCGACGCCGCGUGAGUGAAGAAGUAUUUCGGUACGUAAAGCUCUAUCAGCAGGGAAGAAAAUGACGGUACCUGACUAAGAAGCCCCGGCUAACUACGUGCCAGCAGCCGCGGUAAUACGUAGGGGGCAAGCGUUAUCCGGAUUUACUGGGUGUAAAGGGAGCGUAGACGGCAGCGCAAGUCUGGAGUGAAAUCCCAUGGCUUAACCAUGGAACUGCUUUGGAAACUGUGCAGCUAGAGUGCAGGAGAGGUAAGCGGAAUUCCUAGUGUAGCGGUGAAAUGCGUAGAUAUUAGGAGGAACACCAGUGGCGAAGGCGGCUUACUGGACUGUAACUGACGUUGAGGCUCGAAAGCGUGGGGAGCAAACAGGAUUAGAUACCCUUGUAGUC
rnacentral:rRNA from 1 species